rnacentral:rRNA from 1 species
CCCUAGUUCUAACCAUAAACGAUGCCAACUAGCGAUCCGCCUGAGUUCCUCAAAUGACUCGGCGGGCAGCUUCCGGGAAACCAAAGUGUUUGGGUUCCGGGGGAAGUAUGGUUGCAAAGCUGAAACUUAAAGGAAUUGACGGAAGGGCACCACCAGGAGUGGAGCCUGCGGCUUAAUUUGACUCAACACGGGAAAACUUACCCGGCCCGGACACUGGAAGGAUUGACAGAUUAAGAGCUCUUUCUUGAUUCAGUGGGUGGUGGUGCAUGGCCGUUCUUAGUUGGUGGAGCGAUUUGUCUGGUUAAUUCCGAUAACGAACGAGACUCUAGCCUACUAAAUAGGCGUUCCGAUCCUUUAUGUCGGACGUUCUUCUUAGAGGGACAAGCGGCUUUUAGCCGCACGAGACAGAGCAAUAACAGGUCUGUGAUGCCCUUAGAUGUCCGGGGCCGCACGCGCGCUACACUGAAGGAAUCAGCGUGUGCUUUCCCUGUCUGUUAGGACUGGGUAACCCGUUAAACCUCCUUCGUGAUAGGGAUAGGGAUUUGUAAUUGUUCCCUUGAACGAGGAAUUCCCAGUAAGCACGAGUCAUAAGCUCGUGUUGAUUACGUCCCUGCCCUUUGUACACACCGCCCGUCGCUACUACCGAUUGAAUGAUUUAGUGAGGUCUUCGGACUGGCGCUCGUA